rnacentral:rRNA from 1 species
CGCCUGUUUAUAAAAACAUGCCUUUUGCUUAAAAAAAAAAGGUCCCGCCGGCCCUUGGACUUAUGUUAACGGCCGCGGUUUUUAACCGUGCGAAGGUCGCGUAAUCACUUGUCCUUUAAAUGAAGACCUGUAUGAAUGGCAUCACGAGGGCUUAACUGUCUCCCAUCCCCAGUCAAUGAAAUUGACCUCCCCGUGCAGAGGCGGGGAUAACUUCAUAAGACGAGAAGACCCUAUGGAGCUUUAGACCUAAAGUAAAUCACGUUUAACAUGCUGCAAUAAUAGUAAAAACUUACUGAUAAUUACUGAAGUGUCUUUGGUUGGGGCGACCACGGGGUAAAACACAACCCCCAUGUGGACCGGGAAUACAAUUCCUAACACUCAGAGCCUCUACUCCAAGUAACAGAAAUUCUGACUUUUUUGAUCCGGUAACACCGAUCAACGAACCGAGUUACCCUAGGGAUAACAGCGCAAUCUCCUCUCAGAGCCCAUAUCGACGAGGAGGUUUACGACCUCGAUGUUGGAUCAGGACAUCCUAAGGUCAGCCGCUAUUAAGGGUUCGACGCCGUUAUGAAUCCUCCUGAUUGGGUUCAACCGGAGUA